rnacentral:lncRNA from 1 species
AAAAAGUUCUGUAAUGGAAGAAAGUAAAUCUCAAAGUUCCAAGAAAAGCAGGGAGAUAUGUGGACAUCAGCAAAAAUGCUGCUUAUUUCAAAGCUUAUGACCAAUUAUAUCACACUCAUUUGAGAUUACAGCAUUACAAUUAAAAAAAAGUCCUAAGCUUACAAAGAAAAAGAAAACCUUAAAAUCGACGCAGCCAAACAUCAAGAUGCUUGGUACCACAAUAAACAAACAACAAUGACAACACCACCAAGAUAGAAGAUAAAUCAAGAACUAGAAAACCCGAAUACAACCUUAAUUAGACCCACCAAGAACACCCUUGAGUUUCUUAAUCUGUGCUACAUCAAGGAAAGUAGUCGCCGCCACCAACUCGGUUGGCAAUUCAUUAGCAAACAGAGCAAAAUCAGUAAUCUGAAGUCCAGGCACCGCACUACCGAAGCUAACAAACGCCUGAGCACUACUCUUACCGGAAUUUAG